UGGGGAAUCUUGCACAAUGGGGGCAACCCUGAUGCAGCGACGCCGCGUGAGCGAUGAAGCCCUUCGGGGCGUAAAGCUCUUUCGACCGGAACGAUAAUGACGGUACCGGGAGAAGAAGCUGCGGCUAACUACGUGCCAGCAGCCGAGGUAAUACGUAGGCAGCAAGCGUUGUUCGGAGUUACUGGGCGUAAAGAGUGCGUAGGCGGUUUUCUAAGUUCGGUGUGAAAUCUCCCGGCUUAACUGGGGGGGUGCGCCGAAGACUGGGAAGCUGGAGUGUGGGAAAGGCUGGCGGAAUUCCUGGUGUAGCGGUGAAAUGCGUAGAGAUCAGGAGGAACACCGGCGGUGUAGGCGGCUUGCUAGACCAUAACUGACGCUGAGGCACGAAAGCGUGGGUAGCAAACA
rnacentral:rRNA from 1 species